rnacentral:rRNA from 1 species
UAGGGAAUCUUCCACAAUGGACGCAAGUCUGAUGGAGCAACGCCGCGUGAGUGAAGAAGGUUUUCGGAUCGUAAAGCUCUGUUGUUGGUGAAGAAGGAUAGAGGCAGUAACUGGUCUUUAUUUGACGGUAAUCAACCAGAAAGUCACGGCUAACUACGGGCCAG